UUAAGGAGGAAGACCUAGGUUAAGGGAAAUAACUCUUAAAAUCAUCAGUACGUUUGUGUCAGCCAUUUUCAUAAAUAUGUUCUAAGCUUCUUGGAUACAUAGAUUAUUUUCAAUCUGUUUCAGGUAAAUGCUUAAAAUUCAUUGAGGAAACUUGACUUUUACAAACACAUAACUGAUUUAAAGAGUUAUCUCCCUGUACCAAGGUCUACCCCCUUAAAU
rnacentral:lncRNA from 1 species